AGUCUCCUAACAAACCAGACAUCACUGGAGAGAUGAUUUAUUCAGCUUUAAGGAAAUGCAUAAAAAUCAGUUAAACAAAAUUGACCCUUAUGAAGGGUUUUGUGCUCCUUUCUAUUUCAGCUAGAUUACAGUGCAACAUUUCUCAUUGUAUUGUUCUUUAAAGUAACUCAAUGUAUUAAAAAAAUCAAAUGUAAGUAUAUAUAUAUAUAUCAAACUGAGGGAUUUAACAUUUGUAACAAGCUUCCGCAAGUUUUCAUGGUCACGGUUGCCAGAUGUCAAGUGUUUAAAUCCCCCAAUAAGCCUUAAUAUUUCACAUCAACGUAAGCGUCCCUGAUGAAUAAAGGUCUGAAUCUCUUCCUCACUGACCCUCUGAUCUGAUCUGGUCUGAUCUGAUCUGAUCUGGUCUGGUCUGGUCUGAUCUGGUCUGGUCUGGUCUGGUCAGGCCUGGUCUGGUCUCCUCAGCGAAGUAUGUGGAAACUGCGAGCCAGAAACAAGGAGGCCACGGAGGAGGAGCUGGAGAAGAUUCUGGACAAGAUCAUGAUCAUCUUCCGCUUUAUCCACGGUGAUCUGAACUCCAGCUUCAGGUCAUAUGACUGUCACACAGAGAUGAAGCUGAGCUCAUUCUGUGGUGUGUGUGUGUGUGUGUGUGUGUGUGUGUGUGAGUGUGUGUGUGUGUGUGUGUGUGUGUGUGUGUGUGUGAAUGAUGAUUGUUUGAGUCCAGAUGUUCAGCACAAACUGGACAGACCUUCACUCUCAGACGUAAUCCUAAAAAUGACUCCUCUUUUCUUUUCUUCUAAUGUUCUUUUCUUCUGUUCAUUUUAUUCUAAAAUGCUCAAUGUUUUAGUGUUUGUACUGAUUUUAACUGGCUAUAUGUAAAAAUAAGUGUAUGACAUCAGCUCAUUUAUGUGUGUGUGUGUGAUGCUGGCAUUAAAUGACACGUGAUGUUAAUAAUUACCCAUGAUCCUCCACACACACACACACACACACACACACACACACACAGAGAGAGCUGUAAGAGCCGUUCACACAGAACACGUUUGUUUGGAUCUGAUCUGAUCUUGAGCAGCGAGACUCUCAGAGAGACUCCAGUUCAGUGAUUCUGUGUGAACAUGAACCCUAAACCCUGAUGAUGAUGAUGAUGAUGAUGAUGAUGAUGAAGGUUCAGCUUGUUGCUCGGGUGAAAAGGGAAAUGAAUGAAUGUGAUUCUGAAACUAUCUUGUUUCCUAAGACAUUUAAAGUGCAUGCCAGUGACAUCAUCAUCACAGCAUGAAGAUGAAGAUGAUGGUGGAUCUGUGGAUCAGUGUUUAAGUGAUGAUGAUGAUGAUGAUGAUGAUGAUGAUGAUGAUGAUGACAGCACUCAUGUCUCAUGCUUGUGUCACUGACGUUGGUUUCUGGAUAUUUUUGUAGUGAAUGUUUGGUUAUUUUAUGCUUCAGGGUUUGAGAUUAAUUAAUAAAUGACUUCCACUCCA